rnacentral:misc_RNA from 1 species
AGCAGCCGCGGUAAUUCCAGCUCCAAUAGCGUAUAUUAAAGUUGUUGCAGUUAAAAAGCUCGUAGUUGAAUUUCGGGAUCAAUUAGGUCGGUCGUGCCUCUGGUACGUACUGGUUUUAUUGGUUCCUCCCUUCUGACGAAACAUGAUGUCAUUAAUUUGGUGUCGUGGAGAAUCAGGACUGUUAACCUUGAAAAAUUAGAGUGUUUAUAGCAGGCUAACGCUUGAAUACAUUAGCAUGGAAUAAUGAAAUAGGACGUUCGACCCUAUUUUGUUGGUUUCUAGGAUCGACGUAAUGAUUAAUAGGGAUAGUUGGGGGCAUUAGUAUUCAAUUGUCAGAGGUGAAAUUCUUGGAUUUAUUGAAGACUAACUACUGCGAAAGCAUUUAGCCAAGGAUGUUUUCUAUUAAUUCAAGAACGAAAGUUAGGGGAUCGAAGACGAUCAGAUACCGUCGUAGUCUUAACCAUAAACUAUGCCGACUAGGAAUCAGACGAUGUUAAUUUUUAAUUGUACUCGUUGGCAC